rnacentral:rRNA from 1 species
GUUCGUUUUACAUGGAUAACCGUGGUAAUUCUAGGGCUAAUACAUGCUCGAGGCGCGUUU